GAUGAACGCUGGCGGCGUGCCUAAUACAUGCAAGUCGAGCGAACAGACGAGGAGCUUGCUCCUCUGACGUUAGCGGCGGACGGGUGAGUAACACGUGGAUAACCUACCUAUAAGACUGGGAUAACUUCGGGAAACCGGAGCUAAUACCGGAUAAUAUAUUGAACCGCAUGGUUCAAUAGUGAAAGACGGUUUUGCUGUCACUUAUAGAUGGAUCCGCGCCGCAUUAGCUAGUUGGUAAGGUAACGGCUUACCAAGGCGACGAUGCGUAGCCGACCUGAGAGGGUGAUCGGCCACACUGGAACUGAGACACGGUCCAGACUCCUACGGGAGGCAGCAGUAGGGAAUCUUCCGCAAUGGGCGAAAGCCUGACGGAGCAACGCCGCGUGAGUGAUGAAGGUCUUCGGAUCGUAAAACUCUGUUAUUAGGGAAGAACAAAUGUGUAAGUUACUAUGCACGUCUUGACGGUACCUAAUUAGAAAGCCACGGCUAACUACGUG
rnacentral:rRNA from 1 species